CGGUUCCGUGCUCGACGUGUCGGAGUCUGUGGAAUGCAAGUCCGCCGAUGAAGACGUCGUUAAGGUUUCCAACAACUGUGAUUCCAUUUUUGUGAAUGGGAAGGAAAUGAAGAGCAAGGUGGACACGAUUGUGAACUUCACCCACCAGCACUUCACCUCCCAGUUUGAGGUCACCGUGUGGGCACCCCGACUACCCCUGCAGAUUGAGAUCUCGGACACGGAGCUGAGUCAGAUCAAGGGCUGGAGGAUCCCAGUGGCCUCCAACAGAAGGCCUACCCGGGAGAGUGACGAUGAGGAAGACGAGGAGAAGAAGGGACGAGGGUGCUCCCUGCAGUACCAGCAUGCCGCGGUGCGCGUCCUCACCCAGUUUGUGGCUGAGUCGCCUGAUGCAGGUCAAAUGACCUACAUGCUGGGCCCCGACUGGCAGUUUGACAUCACUGACCUUGUGACCGAGUUCAUGAAGGUGGAGGAGCCGAAAAUCGCUCAGUUACAGGAUGGCAGGACCCUUGCUGGUCAGGAGCCGGGAAUCACCACAGUGCAGGUCCUCUCGCCUCUCUCUGACUCCAUCCUGGCUGAGAAGACAGUGAUUGUCCUGGAUGACCGAGUCACCAUUGCAGAACUGGGUGUGCAGCUUGUGGCUGGCUUAUCUCUUUCCCUGCAGCCUCACAGAGCAGACAAAAGGGCCAUUGUCUCAACAGCAGCUGCCCAGGAUGUUCUUCAAGCCCCACAACAGGAAGCAAUAGUCAGUUCUUGGAUUUUGUUCAGUGAUGGUUCAGUGACACCUCUAGACAUUUACGAUACCAAGGAUUUUUCAAUUACUGCCUCAUCGUUGGACGAAAUGGUGGUGUCUAUCCAGCCAAACCUUGAGUCCAGAUGGCCGGUUGUGAUUGCAGAAGGUGAAGGGCAAGGACCCUUGAUUAAGUUAGAAAUGAUGAUUAGUGAACCUUGUCAGAAGACCAAGAGGAAGAGUGUUCUUGCUGUGGGUAAAGGAAAUAUCAAGGUCAAAUUUGAACCAGGUAUUGAGCACCAAGGAGGCACCAAUGAUAUUGAGGGGAUAAAUCGGGAAUAUAAAGACCACCUCAGUAAUUCCAUUGAGCGUGAAGGAAACCAGGAGAGAGCAGUUCAGGAACGGUUCCAACAUGGCGCAUCAGUUGGCCAAGAGGAAAGUACCAACAAAAGCACAACCCCACAGUCUCCUAUGGAAGGGAGGGAUAAGAAGUUACUUAGGAGUGGUGGUCCAGAUACUUUCACAAGCUUCCCCACUCAAGGGAAGUUACCAGAACCCAAUAAUCCUGGUGAUCUUACAGUGACCUCAAGGGGGUUAACAGACUUGGAGAUUGGCAUGUAUGCCCUGCUCUGUGUCUUCUGCCUGGCCAUUCUGGUCUUCUUAAUCAACUGUGUGGCAUUUGCUUGGAAAUAUAGACACAAAAGGUUUGCUGUGAGUGAGCAAGGCAACAUCCCCCAUUCCCAUGACUGGGUCAGGCUGGGGAAUGAAGUGGAACUUCUGGAGAACCCCGUUGACAUCACACUCCCGUCGGAGGAGUGCACCACCAUGAUAGACAGGGGGCUGCAGUUUGAGGAGAGGAACUUCCUUCUGAAUGGCAGCUCCCAGAAGACUUUCCAUAGUCAACUGCUCAGGCCUUCUGACUAUGUCUAUGAGAAAGAAAUUAAAAAUGAACCUAUCAAUCCUUCGGGCCCAAAGAGGAAGCGAGUCAAGUUUACUUCCUACACCACCAUCCUCCCAGAGGACGGCGGCCCCUACACCAACUCCAUCCUGUUUGACAGUGAUGACAACAUCAAGUGGGUCUGCCAAGAUAUGGGGCUGGGGGACUCGCAGGACUUUAGAGACUAUAUGGAAAGACUGCAAGACCAGAUGUAAACUCCUUUCUUAUGUUUGUACUCACCUUUAUGCCUUCUGUUUUUUGAAUGGUGGAGCAGUGAGUUUGAUCAGCAAUAGGGGAUGAUCUAACAAAGUUUAUUUUGUGGAGGUCUGGUGGGAUCCCUUCCUAAGCAGGUACCAGAGGUUAGGAGAGCUAGGGCAGCUGUGUGUUAAGCCACGAAAUGCUUCUAAAACAGCCACAUGUAGGGACUGGAGAAACUCUAAGGCGACAGUUUUAUCUGCUGCCUGGUACUAGCUCAGUGAGAAUACAAUAGACCUGACCCCACAGACAUUGUUAGUCAUCUCAUGACAAAUGGCCAUGUGGAAUUAGAAAAGAUUUGGGUGUGAUUUUUGUAUUCCUAGACCUUUUAAAGCACAGUGGACUCUUAUUGCCCUCGGCCUGAGUUUAGACAUACAUGAAAGUUAACUGAAUGUAGCUCUCCUUACUUGUUACGAGCGCUGCUCAUUAUUUUUAUAUACAUUUGCACCUGCACCUGUUCCUUUGACCUCUGGAAUUCUUUCUGAGACACAAAAAGAAGAAAUUUCAGUCUUUUCUUUGAGGCCUGUUUGAUUUACAUAUGAGUUUCGUUCCUUGGGGUUUGCCUUGCCAUGUUGUCUCCUGGGUCUCCAUGUGGGAUGUCAGGUUUUUCCAGUUUUACACCCUUCAUUGUUUAGGGACAGCAUUUAAGCAUCUUGUUCUCACUAUUUCCCCCCUCCUUUCAUUGCUGAACUUUCUUGUAUAAAACUGGGACAAGGGGUUUUACUUAAAAUGUUAAUAAACUGUGAGGGAGGACCAUCUCUAUACAGUUUUCUACAUGAUGCUUCAAAAGUUUGGAGCAAAGUUAUGAGUCACGAACAUUUGUUUUUAUCCUCUGCUUGUUGAAAAUUCAUGGGGAACUCCUGGAGUGCAUUUCUGAGGGCAAAAAGACCCCAGCAUAGCUGUAUUUAUACAAGUGAUUUGUGAUCAAUGCAAUUUAUUAUUCAAACUGAAAUCUAAAAGUAGAAUUGAUCAACAUAGAGGGGCUAUGCCUAGAAAAUAGCUGCAGGUUAAACUUUCCAUUUUACCAGAAUACAAACUUAAAAAGGUAAGUAGAAUGAUGUUUCAAGUUAGCAAUACAUAGGAAUUCAUCCAGACAAUGACCAAAAAAUAAAUUCUCAAUUAUGACUCUGGCAGAGAUAAAACCUUUACAGGGUGUGCAUUGGUGGAAAAAGCAAUUGGUUUUCCCCCAAAAUUCAUAAAAAUAAAUGACUGUUCCAAACUGUUCUCAAGAAGCAGCUAUUAUGAGAAAACAACAGCUAUUGAAAAAUCAAAGUGGCAAGACAAAAAAGAAAUUCCUGCAUAUUUUUAAAAUAAAAUAUUAUUUAAAGAACAUCAUGAAUUGUCUCAAGCAAAGCAAAAAUUUCAGAUUAGGAAAAUGUGACAACAUUUUUAUUUAUUAAGACAAUAUUGUUGGAAAAGCAGACAAUGGACUAGUAUGCCUCAUUAUGAGUUUUAAUGAUCCACUUGUGUCUUGAAGAAAUAGAAUUUUAAAGGGCAAAAAUAAGAACGACCUGCAGGAGAUCACCUGAAGCAGUUCCCUGACUCCAAAUGGCUGAUGACUGAGUUGUUCAAAAGAGAGGCAUCCAAUUGUUCUCUUAUUGCAGAUUUCUGUGGAUGGGAACAUGACAACCCAGCCUCCUCUAGCCAGAAAGUGGCUGCCAUUAAGUUCUUCCUGUACCUCCCACAGGACUACACUGUGUUUGUGAACAGUACUGAAAUUGUAGGUGACAUAGGCCUGACCCCUCAAGGCCUGUGUUCAGUUGGUUCUGUAAGUGUUUAAAAUGGGGCUUAGGAAAUGAAGCUGGUGGAGUUCCAAAAAUCUUUUAAUUUGACUGGAGAAUGAAGUCAAGAGAUCCAGGCAUUAGCUGCAAAAGGAGUUUGCAAGGAGAUGGAUGACACCUUUCAGGAAGAGCUCCUCAGUUAGCCAAAGGCUUUUCCAAGGGUUUGGUGGGGGUGUAGCCCCAAAACAACUGUGGAGGACUGAAGACAAGUUUGCACACUAAUCGACACGUAGCUAUCCAGAUGUGUCCAGCUUCUUCGAUGAGACUUUUUCAAUUCUCUCUCCCUUUUCAUUUUCAACAGUCCAGAAAUAAUGGGAAUUCAUUUCUGAAAGUGAAGAAACUCAAUUGAAGCAGGGGAAAUUUCUCCCAUGCAUAUAGCAGGCUGCCUCCCACUGGUAAAGUAAGACAGUGUGGGGGUAUAAUUUGGGAGGGGGCAAAGGAAAUUAGCAUUGUCAUGGAGAGCAUUAUUAAGGAGCAAGCAGACAAAUCAGAGCACUUCCUACCAUGGGAGUGAGUGCUUGAUAGGGUGCAGUGGGCAGAAUGGGGAGCAUUCUAAUGUGACAGUGGUUUCUCAACAGAGCUGGGAACUGACCACGGUCCUGAAGGUGCCUGUUGUGGAUAACUUAGUCACCCAGAGUGAUAUAGCCUCUGUAGAGUCACCUUUGUUUUGUGUUAAAACUCAGUUCGAAAUAAAAAUCACAUGGAAGGGGGAAGGGUUCCUUUUACCAUGUAACAUACACUCUCACAUAUAUAAACACAUACAUAUACCCGUGUGUGCAUGUGUGUAUGUGUGUGUGUGUGUAAGAAUACUGAAGAGCCAGAAAAUAAACUAUUUAGUGGGAAUCAACAGUGACUCUCACUUGUUCUCAUAUUUUGCAUGAGCACUAUUCAUCAUAACAGAACUGAAGUGUUUUCUGCUCUAAAUAUUUCCUGCAAAUGAUAAACCAUGGGUUAUAUCACCUUGUUUUCCAGCACAAUUAUUAGGCACUAUGCCCCAUAAUAACAAAACUAAAGUGGGGAGAAAGAUAUAAACUAUUAAGCCUUGAAAUCCAAUUUCCAGGGGGCCAGGCAUUUGCCUGGAUUUUCCAGGUUUUUAUUGCUGAGAUACCCAAAUUAUUGCUCCCAUAGGUAAAGUCCCUUCCUUUCCCAUGAGAACAGAAUGCUCAGACUCCUCCCGAGGGAGACAUCAGCAAGCCUCGAGAGAGGGCUGUGAACUCCAGGGUCACAUGGGAGGUUCAGAUUCUAACUGAUGACCACACGACCUGGAACAGUUGAAGAUGGGGACCAUUGUCUCCAGGGUUCAGAUGCACUGCCUCAGAUUGCAGGGGUUGAGAAGCAGCUGCUACAUCAAAGAACUGGACUUUAAACACACAGGUGUAUUGCAUUUGAAAGAAAGCAAGAAGAAAGACACUGCAAGUUCCCCCCAGAAGAACAAUGCCUAACAAACCUCAGAAUACUCCAUGUGUUCCAAGGGAGGGAAUAAUUUGACUUUCUACAUGUUUUAUAUUGCACACUGGCCAGGGUAAAUUUCCAGACUAUAGUAAUCCUUAGUAUCUAGACAGAAAGUUUCUAUUUGUAAACAUCAAUGCAGGGAAAAAUGGAUUAAUUUUUGUCCCAUUGCCACAUCUGUAGACUAAUUUGUACCUUGCUAAUUUUUAAGUUUUAGAAAGUUUGCCUUUGUGCAUUUUGAUCAGCAUUCUUGUUUCACUCUUUUAGGGAGGGGUCUUCCCAGUGUUGGGAUGUUAGGACCACAGUAAAAGCUCUGUCCAUCAGAGAAGAACUAUUCAGUCCAACAGCAAGGAGCAAAGAGGGUGUUCCUUUCAUAUGCAUCUUCCGUGUCACCAGCACCGUGUGUUUCCUACUCUCAUCAUAUAAGAAAUGGUCUCAAUUUUCCAUUCCAGUCUCUGUGAAUGAUGCCGUAGAUGGUUUAUACACUCAGCAGCCCUCUUCUGCACUAAAAUUAUACAUGCGCAAUGUAAUGCCUAUCACCUAUUAUGUGAAAGGACAGUAUGAAUGGUGGAAAAGUUAUGCUAAAAUAGGGGUAGCAGAUAUUUUUGUAUGUAAUAUAGGCAAUAUACUGAAACACUGAGAGGUGUAUUGGAAUAAAUACAUUUUAAAAUAAAAGCAUGCAAAACUGUAGCUUUUAAAUGUACAAACAUCUCACUCCAAAGUAUCUGAAAGAUGGUGGGGAAAACAUUGGGACCAAACAUCGUGAAAUGCUGAACUAAGAAUUCUGGCCUGGAAAAGAUGUGGCUCAUGUUUGGAUUGUUAAUGGAAUCUGCUGGAACAUUUUGAUCUUACUCUUCAUUUCUUUUGGAUUUUUCCCUUUCUUUUUUUUCUGGAACUAUUUCAAAAAUAAAGUGACUUCAUUUUCCAGCCUAUUCUAA